UAAACUAUGGAUGCUAGCUGUUAUCAGUAUCGACCCCUGNUAGUAGCGAAGCUAAGNGCGUUAAGCAUCCCGCCUGUGGAGUAGGAGCGCAAGCUUAAAACAUAAAGGAAUUGACCGGGGACCCGCACAAGCGGUGGAGCGUGUUGUUNAAUUCGACGGUAAACGAAGAACCUUACCCAGGCUUGACAUCCUGCCAAGCUCUGCGAAAGCAGAGUGUGCCUUCGGGCCCGCAGUGANCAGGUGAUGCAUGGCCGUCGUCAGCUCGUGUCGUGAGAUGUUUGGUUAAGUCCAUUAACGAGCGCAACCCUUAUAGUCUGUUGGAUUUUUCAGGCUAGACUGCCCCGGUAACGGGGAGGAAGGAGGGGAUGAUGUCAGGUCAUUAUUUCCCUUACGUCUGGGGCUACAAACACGAUACAAUGGCCGGUACAAAGGGCAGCCAACCCGCGAGGGGGAGCAAAUCCCAUCAAAGCCGGUCUCAGUUCGGAUUGUAGGCUGAAACUCGCCUGCAUGAAGCUGGAAUCGCUAGUAACGGUAGGUCAGCUAUACUANCCGUGAAUACGUUCCCGGGUCUUGUACACACCGCCCGUCAAGUCAUGAAAGUCGCCAAUACCCAAAGUCUGAUGCUUGUAUCGGCCUAAGGUAGGGGAGAUGAUUGGGACUAAGUCGUAANCAAGGUACC
rnacentral:rRNA from 1 species